rnacentral:rRNA from 1 species
GACGAACGCUGGCGGCGUGCUUAACACAUGCAAGUCGAGCGGUAAGGCCCUUCGGGGUACACGAGCGGCGAACGGGUGAGUAACACGUGGGUGACCUGCCCUCAGCUCUGGGAUAAGCCUGGGAAACCGGGUCUAAUACCGGAUAUGACUCCAUGACGCAUGUUGUGGGGUGGAAAGCCUUGUGCGGCUGAGGAUGGGCCCGCGGCCUAUCAGCUUGUUGGUGGGGUGAUGGCCUACCAAGGCGACGACGGGUAGCCGGCCUGAGAGGGCGACCGGCCACACUGGGACUGAGACACGGCCCAGACUCCUACGGGAGACAGCAGUGGGGAAUCUUGCGCAAUGGGCGAAAGCCUGACGCAGCGACGCCGCGUGAGGGAUGACGGCCU